AUGGUCAUCUGAGAGGAGGAAGCCUCAAUUGAGAAACUGUCACCAAAAGAUCAGGCUGUAAGCUGAAAAGCCUAUUGGGUUUUUCUUAAAUGGUAAUUGAUGGGCGAGGGCCCAGCCCAUUGUGGCAGGGAAACCCCUGGGCUGGUGAUCCUGGAUUCUAUCCUAAUUUUCUGAGAAAUUGCUAUACUGAUUUCCACAGCAGCUGUACAAAUUUGCACUCCCACCAACAAUGGAGGAGUGUUCCCCUUUCUCCACAGAACAUUUUCUUAAUUAGUGAUUGAUGAGGAAGGGGACUCAGUUCAUUGUGGGUGGGGUAUUCCUGGGCUAGUGGUCCUGGGCUCUAUAAGAAGGCAGGCUGAGCAAGCCAUGUUGAGCAAGCCAGUAAGCAGCACCCCUCCAUGGCUUCUACAUCAGCUCCUGCCUCUGAGUCCCUGCCCUGUUUGAGUUCCUGUACUGACUUCCUUCAAUAAUGGACUAUGGUAUGGAAUUGUAAGCCAAAUCAACCCUUUCUUCCCCUAGAUGUUUUUGGUUGUGGUGUUUCAUCAUAGCAAUAGUAACCUAAUGAAGACAACAUGUAAGAAAUUAUGAAGAAUGCAUACAGCUAAAUGGCCAGGGAUGGUGGCCCAUGAUUUUAGCCCCAAUGUUCAAGAAGCAAAGGCAGGUACAGACUGAGAAGAAAGGACAGCCAAGGAGGCAUCGUCUGAGGAAGGAGGAGAAGAAAGACAUUGUGCUGGGCGUGGCUAGUCAGCUUAGCAGUCUAGACCAUUGUUUAGGAAGAACUCUCCUCUCAUCAUCAGCUUGGGACUCCACCUACCAUGUCUCUGCUGAACAGUAAUUUGAAGGACUUUCCAACUCCAUGUCCCUCUGGUCACAUAAUGGCUGCUGAGACUCCAACCAUCUUGACCACAUGUUUACACGAGGAAAAGACCUGUAUCUCUCCCAUUUGCAUUUGAUUAGCCAUCUUUAGCUGCAAGGAAAACAUUUUUUUCUCCAAAAUAAACUUAAUAUAUUGCCUUUAUUUUUUUUAGGUGUUUUUGGU
ensembl:lincRNA